rnacentral:rRNA from 1 species
UACAGAGGGUGCGAGCGUUGUUCGGAAUUAUUGGGCGUAAAGGGCGCGUAGGCGGUUUGGUAAGUCUUGUGUGAAAUCUUCGGGCUCAACUCGAAGUCUGCAUGAGAAACUGCCGGGCUUGAGUGUGGGAGAGGUGAGUGGAAUUCCUGGUGUAGCGGUGAAAUGCGCAGAUAUCAGGAGGAACACCAAUGGCGAAGGCAGCUCGCUGGGACGGUACUGACGCUGAGACGCGAAAGCGUGGGGAGCAAACAGG